AACCUGGUUGAUCCUGCCAGUAGUCAUAUGCUUGUCUCAAAGACUAAGCCAUGCAUGUCUAAGUAUAGAUGCUAUACAAUGAAACUGCGAAUGGCUCAUUAAAACAGUUAUAGUUUAUUUGGUAAUCGAAUUUACAUGGACAACCGUGGUAAUUCUAGAGCUAAUACAUGCUAUUAAGCCUGACUUCUUGAAAGGCCGUAUUUAUUAGAUAACAGACCACUAUUCCUCGUGUCUAUUGUGGUGAAUCAUAGUAACUUUUCGGAUCGCAUGGGUUUUGCCCGCGACAAACCAUUCAAGUUUCUGCCCCAUCAGCUUUCGAUGGUAGUGUAUUGGACUA
rnacentral:rRNA from 1 species